rnacentral:rRNA from 1 species
GCGUGCUUAACACAUGCAAGUCGAACGGAAAGGCCCUGCUUUUGUGGGGUGCUCGAGUGACGAACGGGUGAGUAACACGUGAGUAACCUGCCCUUGACUUUGGGAUAACUUCAGGAAACUGGGGCUAAUACCGGAUAGGAGCUCCUGCUGCAUGGUGGGGGUUGGAAAGUUUCGGCGGUUGGGGAUGGACUCGCGGCUUAUCAGCUUGCUGGUGGGGUAGUGGCUUACCAAGGCUUUGACGGGUAGCCGGCCUGAGAGGGUGACCGGCCACAUUGGGACUGAGAUACGGCCCAGACUCCUACGGGAGGCAGCAGUGGGGAAUAUUGCACAAUGGGCGGAAGCCUGAUGCAGCAACGCCGCGUGCGGGAUGACGGCCUUCGGGUUGUAAACCGCUUUCGCCUGUGACGAAGCGUGAGUGACGGUAAUGGGUAAAGAAGCACCGGCUAACUACGUGCCAGCAGCCGCGGUGAUACGUAGGGUGCGAGCGUUGUCCGGAUUUAUUGGGCGUAAAGGGCUCGUAGGUGGUUGAUCGCGUCGGAAGUGUAAUCUUGGGGCUUAACCCUGAGCGUGCUUUCGAUACGGGUUGACUUGAGGAAGGUAGGGGAGAAUGGAAUUCCUGGUGGAGCGGUGGAAUGCGCAGAUAUCAGGAGGAACACCAGUGGCGAAGGCGGUUCUCUGGGCCUUUCCUGACGCUGAGGAGCGAAAGCGUGGGGAGCGAACAGGCUUAGAUACCCUGGUAGUCCACGCUGUAAACGGUGGGUACUAGGUGUGGGGUCCAUUCCACGGGUUCCGCGCCGUAGCUAACG